UAGCGGAUGUUUACGCCCUAUAAGGAACCUACUUGCCAAAUUUCAAGUUUGUAGCUGGUAUAGUUUCGGAGGUUUCGUGAUGAGUGAGUCAACCUACCAUCCCCAGUUUUAACCCCAAAAGGGAGUUGAUUUCUAAAGAUACAUUAUUUGGACACCUUCUUAUCAUCUAUAAGGCAUACAUUUUAAAUUUCAAGUCUCUUACUUCAAAAACAUGAGACUUUCACACAAACUUCCAACCCC
rnacentral:misc_RNA from 1 species